rnacentral:tRNA from 1 species
GUCCACAUAGUUUAUAUAAAACACCAGAUUGUGAUUCUGGAAAUAGAGUAUUUCUUGUGGACC